rnacentral:rRNA from 1 species
CGAGUGAAGCGGGGAAGAGCUCAAGCUUAAAAUCUCCGUGCAAGUUUUGUGCGGCGAAUUUGUAGUCUAUAGAGGCGUGGUCAGCGUGGGCGCUUGGGGCAAGUUCCUUGGAAGAGGACAGCAUGGAGGGUGAUACUCCCGUUCAUCCCUGAGUGGCUCGUGCGUACGACCCGUUUUCUUUGAGUCGCGUUGUUUGGGAAUGCAGCGCAAAGUAGGUGGUAAAUUCCAUCUAAAGCUAAAUAUUGGUGCGAGACCGAUAGCGAACAAGUACCGUGAGGGAAAGAUGAAAAGAACUUUGAAAAGAGAGUUAAAGAGUACCUGAAACUGCUGAAAGGGAACCGAAUCGUUUCCAGUGUCUAUAAUCUGUGGCAUAUUUCAUUGGCGAGCGUUUGCGUGCGUGUGCUGUGGCAGUGGCUUUUUUGGCUGCGCCUGGUGUGUGUGGUGUGAGUGUUUGCUGGUGCCCUGUGCUGCGGUGGGACGUCAAGGUCAGUUCGUAUGCUGCGGGAAAUGGCUGCCGAGGAGGUAGGGCUUACGCUCCGCGUUUGUCUGUUAUAUCUUGGUGGACGAGUCGUCGCGGUUGGGACUGAGGUGCCUACAACGUGCUUUUGAGUGGGUUUGUGUCUCCGUGUGCGCCGUGUGCGGAUAGCUUGCUAUGCGUGUGUGGUUGUGUGUGGAUUGAUGCGGGCCUUAACUUGUCGCCGUUCGGGACGUUGACGAAA